rnacentral:rRNA from 1 species
UUGACCUCGGAUCAGGCAGGGAUACCCGCUGAACUUAAGCAUAUCAAUAAGCGGAGGAAAAGAAACCAACAGGGAUUGCCUCAGUGACGGCGAGUGAAGCGGCAACAGCUCAAAUUUGAAAUCUGGCUCUUUUAGGGUCCGAGUUGUAAUUUGUAGAGGAUGCUUCGGCGUCGGCUCCGGUCUAAGUUCCUUGGAACAGGACGUCAUAGAGGGUGAGAAUCCCGUAUGUGAUCGGUUGCCCUUGCCAUGUGAAGCUCCUUCGACGAGUCGAGUUGUUUGGGAAUGCAGCUCUAAAUGGGAGGUAAAUUUCUUCUAAAGCUAAAUACUGGCCAGAGACCGAUAGCGCACAAGUAGAGUGAUCGAAAGAUGAAAAGCACUUUGGAAAGAGAGUCAAAAAGUACGUGAAAUUGUUGAAAGGG